CACAUCUUUAGAGGCUGCACAUUGAAGGCAGAGAAACAUGCAGCUAAACAACCCAGAUUUUUUUGUUUCUGAACAGGAUCCUGAGAAUUGUAUCUGAAGAAAAAUAAGAAAACACAGCUUAAAGUCACUGCUUUCAAGCUUCUGGAAGAAUACAGUUUUCAGGAAACUGCAUCCUUCUCAGGGCUUGGAGAUCAAGUGAGCUGUCUUGGACCCCUAAGGUGAAGAUACACUUGUCCUUGCUCAGUGUGGGAGAGUUUUAAGGGGAAGACCAGCUCUGUCCUGCAUAUUUAUCUGCUUUCUGGUGACUUACAGAACAUGACUUUGCCACAUUUCCAAAUGAAAUAGCUCCAAGAACACACAGCUCAAGUUUCUUUUAUAAAAAGAAAUCUCCAGGAAAGACUCGGGCAGAGGAAUGACUCCAGGGACCUGAACCACGAGAGCUGAAUCUUCAUGCAACCAGGAUCAGCAAGUCUCAGCAACCACCUCUGGCAGCUGGCAUACUCUUGUAGCAUCCUGUGGAAAAAACACAAACAUUCCCUCUUCUCCAUAUAGAAUAUCUGAACAGGAUCAUGCCAAUACGUGAAUCUUUCUAUUUCACCUAGGCAGAAGUAUGCCUAGUUGUAGGGUGUCAUAAACACUCGGAGUUCCUUGGCAUAC
rnacentral:lncRNA from 1 species